GAAUAUUGGACAAUGGGCGCAAGCCUGAUCCAGCCAUGCCGCGUGGGUGAAGAAGGCCUUAGGGUUGUAAACCCCUUUCAGCGGGGAAGAUAAUGACGGUACCCGCAGAAGAAGUCCCGGCUAACUCCGUGCCAGCAGCCGCGGUAAUACGGAGGGGGCUAGCGUUGUUCGGAAUUACUGGGCGUAAAGCGCGCGUAGGCGGAUGUUCAAGUCGGGGGUGAAAUCCCGGGGCUCAACCCCGGAACUGCCUCCGAUACUGGAUGUCUGGAGGACGGGAGAGGCGAGUGGAAUGCCGAGUGUAGAGGUGAAAUUCGUAGAUAUUCGGCGGAACACCCGUGGCGAAGGCGGCUCGCUGGUCCGUUUCUGACGCUGAGGCGCGAAAGCGUGGGGAGCAAACAGG
rnacentral:rRNA from 1 species